rfam:Myotis lucifugus cont2.36367, whole genome shotgun sequence.
GUCAGUUCUUGGGUGACACACCCCAGAAUCCGGCUCCCUCCUCUCUGGUUCCAGGUGUGUCACCCGGGAACCGCC